UACGGAGGGGCUAGCGUUGUUCGGAAUUACUGGGCGUAAAGCGCACGUAGGCGGCUAUUCAAGUCAGAGGUGAAAGCCCGGAGCUCAACUCCGGAAUAGCCUUUGAAACUAGGUAGCUUGAAUCCAGGAGAGGUGAGUGGAAUUCCGAAGUGUAGAGGUGAAAUUCGUAGAUAUUCGGGAAGAACACCAGUGGCGAAGGCGGCUCACUGGACUGGUAUUGACG
rnacentral:rRNA from 1 species